UUGUCGAAAGACGGGCUAAUGUUCCAUAGUCUCAAGGCAGAGCCUUGGAGACAACUAAUAACAACUAACCACUAACAACUAACAUUAUAGUUAGAAGUUAGCAGUUUUUAGUUAGAAGUUGUACUCAAAGCUCUGCUUUGAGUAAAGGGCUUAACUGCCCACUGAGGGAGGGGCCUGCGUCCUAUCAGCUAGUUGGUGAGGUAAAGGCUCACCAAGGCAAUGACGGGUAGCUGGACUGAGAGGUCGAUCAGCCACAGGGGCACUGAGAUACGGGCUCCACACCUACGGGUGGCAGCAACCGGGAAUAUUGCGCAAUGGACGAAAGUCUGACGCAGCGACGCCGCGUGGGGGAUGAAGGCCUUCGGGUUGUAAACUCCUUUUGUCCCGCUUUUCACGGCGGGAAGAAUAAGCCUCUACUAACUACGUGCCAGAAGUCUCGGUAAUACGUAGGAGGCAAGCGUUAUCCGGAUUUAUUGGGCGUAAAGAGUGCGUAGGUGGUCUAUAAAGUCUUUGUUCAAAUCCCACGGCUUAACCGUAGAAUUGGCAAAGAUACUAAUAGACUCGAGGAUCGUUCGGGGUACUGGAACAGUUGGUGUAGCGGUGAAAUGCGUUGAUAUCAACUGGAACACCGAUGGCGAAGGCAAGUACCUGGAAUUUUCCUGACACUGAGGCACGAAAGCUAGGGUAGCGAAACAGAUUAGAGACCUGUGUAGUCCUAGCCGUAAACAAUGGGCGCUAGAUACCACUCGCAAAGUUGAUAACAACUUUGCGAGAACUAAAUACUGAAAACUUAAAAUUGAAUACAUAAUUUUUUUGGUUUUAAGUCUUAAGUUUUUAGUUCGCAAAAUCAUUGUCGAUUUUGCGAGUGGUGUCGUAAGCUAACGCGUUAAGCGCCCCGCCUGGGGAGUACGGCCGCAAGGCUAAAACUCAAAGGAAUUGACGGGGACCCGCACAACCAGUGGAGCGUGUGGUUCAAUUCGAGACGAAGCGAAAGACCUCACCAGGGUUUGACAUGUAACCGUACAUUUCCCUAGAAAUCGGGAGAAAUCCGCAAGGAUGGUUACACAGGUGCUGCAUGGCUGUCGUCAGCUCGUGCCGUGAGGUGUUCCAUUAAGUUGGGAAACGAGUGCAACCCUUGCCCAAUGUUAAAUAUUCAUUGGGGACUGCUUCUGCAUUGCAGAGGAGGAAGGAGAGGCGGACGUCAAGUCAGCAUGGCUCUUAUACCCUGGGCCACACACACCCUACAAUGGCGAAAAACAAUGGGUCGCAAGCCGGCAACGGCAAGCCAAUCCCUCAAAUUUCGCCUCAGUUCAGAUUGGGGUCUGAAACCCGACCCCAUGAAGCCGGAAUUGGUAGUAAUCGCGGAUCAGCAGGCCGCGGUGAUACGUUCUCGGGUCUUGUACACACCGCCCGUNCAG
rnacentral:rRNA from 1 species